CAGUCCACACAAAUAAACCAACACCAGACUGGGCUACUACUACCAGUCUAGAGGUGCAUUUUGGGCAAGGUGACCAAUGGACCAGAUGUGCAGAACAGAAUACAACCACAAGAACAAACAGUGAAAGGUCGACAGGGUCAUCUUCAGACGUGGUCAGGGUGGCAGAGAGGGUCGUGAUGAUGUCCAUAUAGACUUCCCAGCACUCGAGGAGGCAGUGUGGCGCCACGUUCAAAGUGCUCGCUUGUUGGUGUGGAAUGUUUGGCGGGCGAGGGACUGGAAGAGCUCAGAGAGGCUGAGGAAGACAAGGAGGAAGAGAGCUUCUUUGAGCGGCAGGAGACGAGUCAGGAGGAGAUGAAAGGAGGAGCGAGGAAGAAAGAGAGGCUACACGUUCAUCAGUCUCAGCCUCCGUGAUCACAGGGCCCCCGCGGCAAAACCACCGAACAAUGGCCCCUGUGUGUGCACGUAUGUGUGUGUGUGUGUGUGUCAUCUCAGAUAAGGACCGAGGCGGCCUUCUCUUCGUCUCCUCUCUGUUUCUCCUCGUCCCCUCUCUUCUCAUACGCUCCUGUUGCUGGUCCCUCUUUCCUCCUCCUCUGUUCUCUUUGUCUCUCGUGCUCAUAGGCCUCUCCCGAGAUGAAAGAGAGAAGAGAUAAGGGCAGGUAAGAGAGUGCAGGAAGGGGAAAAACAGCAGAGAGGAAAGUGAUAAGAGGGGAAACAAUGAGGGCUUUGAAAACAUGUGAGCUACUGUGUGUGUGUGUGUGUACGUAUAUAUUUGGGCAUUACCUAUAUGCCCUGCGGAGAUGUGUAUAAUCUUAUAUUUUGUAAGAUACAUCAGGUUAAAGCUGGAUUGAUGAGUUGAUAGGUGGAGAGGAGAAGAUAUAAAAAAUGACUUCCUGUUGACUUCUCAUUUUACCCCUAUUAGCCUCUUUUCCUUCUUUUUAUUAGUGCUCACUCUUCCCCGUCAGGCAGCAUUUCUCUUUGAGCCAGUCAUUACCUUGCACAAGAGGAAUCCCGCUAACACACACACAGACACACACACUAACUCACCUGUUUCUCCCAUUUGGGGCUCUGCAGCCUUUUAGCUGCCCGGCCUUCCUCUCCUGUCCCUGCUGGGUGUGGUUUUCCAAUCUGUCCUGCUUUAGUCAUUACAGCUUCACCCACCCAAACCAGUCCAUCUUAGUCCAAACAUCCACCUGCCAUCAAUGUGUAUGUGU